UACGUAGGGGGCGAGCGUUGUCCGGAGUUACUGGGCGUAAAGGGCACGCAGGCGGUGCGGCGCGUGUCGCGUGACAGCGGGUGGCUUAACUGCCCGAGGGUGCGACAGACGGCCGGACUUGAGGGCCAGAGAGGGACCUGGAAUUCCGGGUGGAGUGGUGAAAUGCGUAGAUAUCCGGAGGAACACCAAAGGCGAAGGCAGGGUCCUGGCGGGUGACUGACGCUGAGGUGCGAAAGCUAGGGGAGCGAACGGG
rnacentral:rRNA from 1 species